UUGAUUCGACGAUCGACGAUCGGCCGUGUUGGUCGGGGCCUUUUGCCUUCAGAGGUCGAGGCCGUCGGUUCGAUGAUCGGUGAUCGAGCUGUUGAUUCGACGAUCGACGAUCGGCCGUGUUGGUCGGGGCCUUUUGCCUUCAGAGGCCGAGGCCGUCGUAGAUUCUCCACUCCUUCGAUCUCUAUCAGGAUCUGCGCACGAGGAGCGGGGAGAGGGGUGUAGGAGUCAUACCUGCGAUGCGUCGGUCUCGGACUC
rnacentral:lncRNA from 1 species